GCGGUGGUGGUGCAAUGGCGGAGAGCAUUCCCGCCCUGUCAGCAGGAGGUGCGGGUUCAAGUCCCGCCUGGCGCU
rfam:Heligmosomoides polygyrus genome assembly, scaffold: HPBE_scaffold0001633